rnacentral:rRNA from 1 species
GACGAACGCUGGCGGCGCGCUUAACACAUGCAAGUCGAACGGAAAGGCCUGCUUUCCCUUGUGGAUUGCGGGUACUCGAGUGGCGAACGGGUGAGUAGCACGUGAGUGAUCUGCCCCCAACUUGGGUAUAAGCCUGGGAAACUGGGUCUAAUUCCCGAUAGGACUGCAGGGUGGUGCCUGUGGUGGAAAACGAUUUUCUAGUGGUUGGGGAUGAGCUCGCGGCCUAUCAGCUUGUUGGUGGGGUAAUGGCCUACCAAGGCGGCGACGGGUAGCCGGCCUGAGAGGGUGGACGGCCACAUUGGGACUGAGAUACGGCCCAGACUCCUACGGGAGGCAGCAGUGGGGAAUAUUGCACAAUGGGCGGAAGCCUGAUGCAGCGACGCCGCGUGGGGGAUGACGGCCUUCGGGUUGUAAACUCCUUUCGACCGCGAGGAAGCCACCUGGUUGGAAGGGUGGUGACGGUAGUGGUAGAAGAAGCACCGGCUAACUACGUG